rnacentral:rRNA from 1 species
GGGCUGGGCGCCAGCUACCAUGCAGUCGAGCGGCAGCACGGGGAGCUUGCUCCCUGGUGGCGAGCGGCGGACGGGUGAGUAAUGCAUAGGAAUCUGCCCGGUAGUGGGGGAUAACCUGGGCGCGGAAACCCAGGCUAAUACCGCAUACGUCCUACGGGAGAAAGCAGGGGACCUUCGGGCCUUGCGCUAUCGGGAUGAGCCUAUGUCGGAUUAGCUGGUUGGUGAGGUAAUGGCUCACCAAGGCGACGAUCCGUAGCUGGUCUGUAGAGGAUGAUCAGCCACAUCGGGACUGAGACACGGCCCGAACUCCUACGGGAGGCAGCAGUGGGGAAUAUAUGGACAAUGGGCGCAAGCCUGAUCCAGCCAUGCCGCGUGUGUGAAGAAGGCCCUCGGGUUGUAAAGCACUAUUCAGUGGGGAAGAAAGCCUUCCGGUUAAUACCCGGGAGGAGGGACAUCACCCACAGAAGAAGCACCGGCUUAACUCCGUGCCAGCAGCCGCGGUAAUACGGAGGGUGCGAGCGUUAAUCGGAAUUACUGGGCGUAAAGCGCGCGUAGGCGGCUUGAUAAGCCGGUUGUGAAAGCCCCGGGCUCAACCUGGGAACGGCAUCCGGAACUGUCUUAGGCUAGAGUGCAGGAGAGGAAGGUAGAAUUCCCGGUGUAGCGGUGAAAUGCGUAGAGAUCGGGAGGAAUACCAGUGGCGAAGGCGGCCUUCUGGACUGACACUGACGCUGAGGUGCGAAAGCGUGGGUAGCAAACAGGAUUAGAUACCCUGGUAGUCCACGCCGUAAACGAUGUCGACUAGCCGUUGGGUCCUUCGCGGACUUUGUGGCCCGCAGUUAACGCGAUAAGUCGACCGCCUGGGGAGUACGGCCGCAAGGUUAAAACUCAAAUGAAUUGACGGGGGCCCGCACAAGCGGUGGAGCAUGUGGUUUAAUUCGAUGCAACGCGAAGAACCUUACCUACCCUUGACAUCCUGCGAACCCUUCGGAGACGAAGGGGUGCCUUCGGGAACGCAGAGACAGGUGCUGCAUGGCUGUCGUCAGCUCGUGUUGUGAAAUGUUGGGUUAAGUCCCGUAACGAGCGCAACCUUUGUCCCUAUUUGCCAGCGAUUCGGUCGGGAACUCUAGGGAGACUGGCGGGUGACAAACCGGGAGGAAGGGUGGGGACGACGUCAAGUCAUCCAUGGCCCUUUACGGGUAAGGGCUACCACCGUGCCUACAAU